GAUCCUGGCUCAGAACGAACGCUGGCGGCAUGCCUAACACAUGCAAGUCGAACGAGACCUUCGGGUCUAGUGGCGCACGGGUGCGUAACGCGUGGGAAUCUGCCCUUGGGUUCGGAAUAACAGUUAGAAAUGACUGCUAAUACCGGAUAAUGUCUUCGGACCAAAGAUUUAUCGCCCAGGGAUGAGCCCGCGUAGGAUUAGCUAGUUGGUGAGGUAAAGGCUCACCAAGACGACGAUCCUUAGCUGGUCUGAGAGGAUGAUCAGCCACACUGGGACUGAGACACGGCCCAGACUCCUACGGGAGGCAGCAGUGGGGAAUAUUGGACAAUGGGCGAAAGCCUGAUCCAGCAAUGCCGCGUGAGUGAUGAAGGCCUUAGGGUUGUAAAGCUCUUUUACCCGGGAUGAUAAUGACAGUACCGGGAGAAUAAGCCCCGGCUAACUCCGUG
rnacentral:rRNA from 1 species